rnacentral:rRNA from 1 species
AACGAACGCUGGCGGCAGGCUUAACACAUGCAAGUCGAACGGUUGUAGCAAUACAGCAGUGGCAGACGGGUGAGUAACACGUGGGAACCUUCCUAGGGGUACGGAACAACUCAGGGAAACUUGAGCUAAUACCGUAUACGUCCGUGAGGAGAAAGAUUUAUCGCCCUUAGACGGGCCCGCGUAGGAUUAGGUAGUUGGUGGGGUAAUGGCCUACCAAGCCUACGAUCCUUAGCUGAUCUGAGAGGAUGAUCAGCCACACUGGGAUUGAGACACGGCCCAGACUCCUACGGGAGGCAGCAGUGGGGAAGUCUUGGACAAUGGGCGCAAGCCUGAUCCAGCCAUGCCGCGUGAGUGAAGAAGGCCUU